UCGAAAUCAGAUGGUUCCACGAUCUUAGUGAAGGUGUGGGGCCGGAGAGAUUAAUUUGGGGUAAUUUGUUUAUAAAGGACAAAAAAGAAUAACAAAAUGAGUCUAGAAGAUUGAAUUACAAACAGCCAUUUAUGCACCAUUCACAUUUACAACCAUUCCUUGUGCGGCUGACGACGAUGAACGAAGUCGAGGCAGCGACGGCAGAGAUGACAACAGCGGGAACAAGGAAGCAAAUUGAGAACGACUAGAAACUACAACAUCAACACACUUGAACCAAAGUGACAGCGGCAGUAGCAUGGGUGUGGACGUUUCUUAGCUUACUAUUAGAGAAACUAGACCGUGGGCAUGGGCGUGGGUGUAGUUUAGCGGCCGCGGCGGUGUGUGACUUUGUGUAAGUGAAUGUAUCGUUCUCUCUCACCCACGAUAGAGAUUAGAGAAGAAGAAGUCACGAAAAAGAAAGUCAUUAGAAAUAGAACUAGUAGACAUAGAAGAGGGGAAUUAGGGAUUGCGUUCUGGUUUUUU
rnacentral:lncRNA from 1 species